GGGAUUCUGAGGGUGGUAAUGGGAUUCUGAGGGCAGCAAUGGGAUUCUGAGGGCAGCAGUGGGAUUCUGAGGGCAGCAGUGGGGUUCUGGGGACAGCAAUGGGAUUCUGAGGGCAGCAGUGGGGUUCUGAGGACAGCAGUGGGAUUCUGAGGGCAGCAAUGGGAUUCUGAGGGCAGCAGUGGGAUUGUGAGGGUGGCAGUGGGAUUCUGAGGGUGGCAAUGGGAUUCUGAGGGUGGCAAUGGGAUUCUGGGGACAACAGGGGGAUUGUGAGGGCGGCAAUGACAUUCUGAGGGUGGCAAUGGGAUUCUGGGGGUGGCAAUGGGAUUCUGGGGUCAACAGUGGGAUUCUGAGGGUGGCAAUGGGAUUCUGGGGACAGCAGUGGGAUUCUGAGGGCAGCAGUGGGAUUCUGAGGGUGGCAAUGGGAUUCUGAGGGUGGUAAUGGGAUUCUGAGGGCAGCAAUGGGAUUCUGAGGGCAGCAGUGGGAUUCUGAGGGCAGCAGUGGGAUUCUGAGGGCAGCAAUGGGAUUCUGAGGGCAGCAAUGGGAUUCUGAGGGCAGCAGUGGGAUUCUGAGGGCAGCAAUGGGAUUCUGAGGGCAGCAGUGGGAUUCUGAGGGUGGCAAUGGGAUUCUGAGGGUGGCAAUGGGAUUCUGGGGACAACAGGGGGAUUGUGAGGGCGGCAAUGACAUUCUGAGGGUGGCAAUGGGAUUCUGGGGGUGGCAAUGGGAUUCUGGGGUCAACAGUGGGAUUCUGAGGGCAGCAGUGGGAUUCUGAGGGCAACAGCAGGGUGCUGGAGACAGUAAUGGGAUUCUGGAUGUAGCAGUGGGGUUCUGGAGGCAGCAGUGGGAUUCUGGUUGCAUAAAUGAGACUCUGGAUGCAGUGAUGGGACUCUGGUUGCUCCAAAAUCCUGGGGACACAGCUGAUCCUGACGCAUGCAGGCGACUGAAGACAGAAUUUUCCAGACUUUACUUCACUUUGGGGUCUGCAGCCAAAGGCAGAGCCACCAUGACCACCCCAAGUGGCCUUGCUGAUUUCUCCAACCAAGUGAAUUCCACAUCCCUGAACUCCCCCACGAGCCGGGGGCCCAUGGCCACCCCGUCCUUGCACCCGUCCAUCGGGCCGGGCAUCGGCUCCUCGCUGGGCUCGCCGGGCCAGCUGCACUCGCCCAUCAGCACCCUGAGCUCGCCCAUCAAUGGCAUGGGCCCCCCGUUCUCCGUCAUCAGCUCCCCCAUGGGCCCACACUCGAUGUCUGUCCCCUCCACGCCCAGCUUGGGAUUUGGCACCAGCAGCCCACAGCUCAACUCGCCCAUGAACUCCGUCACCAGCACAGAAGACAUCAAGCCACCCCUGGGGCUCAAUGGAGUCCUCAAAGUGCCAGCACAUCCCUCAGGAACGAUGGCCUCCUUCACCAAGCACAUAUGUGCCAUCUGCGGGGACAGAUCUUCGGGUAAACAUUACGGAGUUUACAGCUGUGAGGGCUGCAAAGGCUUCUUCAAGCGCACGGUGCGGAAGGACCUGACCUACACGUGCCGGGACAACAAGGACUGCCUGAUCGACAAGCGCCAGCGCAACCGCUGCCAGUACUGCCGCUACCAGAAGUGUCUGGCCAUGGGCAUGAAGAGAGAAGCCGUGCAGGAGGAGAGGCAGCGGGGGAAGGACCGCAACGAGAACGAGGUGGAGUCCACGAGCAGCGCCAACGAGGACAUGCCCGUGGAGAAGAUCCUGGAGGCUGAGCUCGCCGUGGAGCCAAAGACGGAGACGUACAUCGAGGCAAACAUGGGCCUGACCCCCAGCUCGCCCAAUGACCCAGUGACAAACAUCUGCCAGGCAGCAGACAAACAGCUCUUCACCCUGGUGGAGUGGGCCAAGAGGAUCCCCCACUUCUCCGAGCUGCCCCUGGAUGACCAGGUCAUCUUGCUCAGAGCAGGGUGGAACGAGCUCCUAAUUGCCUCCUUCUCCCACCGCUCCAUAGCCGUGAAGGACGGGAUCCUGCUGGCCACGGGGCUGCACGUGCACCGGAACAGCGCGCACAGCGCCGGCGUCGGGGCCAUCUUCGACAGCGUGACUCCAGACGCUGCUGAAAUGCUGAUUUCUCUCCCUGAGACUCAUCUUGAGUUGAAACCAAAUCACCUUUGCUGCUCUGCUCUGUGAGGAAAUUGUUCUUCGGACCUGGGUGACAUCAUUUGUUCCUGUGAGGUCAUAAGUGCAAGAUCAUGACUUUGCUGCAGGAUCUAACAUGAAAAACUGGGCAAUCAGUGGAAAAUACUUCAAGACCGACACCUUCAGCGGCUUUCUCAGGUGCCAGAGCCUCUCGGUGAAUGGAUGAAGGCGGUUUUUAUGGUCCCUGUUGUAUCUCACAGGAACUAUUGAUGUUCCUAAUGAGCUAUUUUUGAUGGAGGAGGAAAAUGAGGCCACAUCCUCAGCUGGUACAGGCCAGCACCAUCCCCAAGUUCGUUAAACGUGACUGGAGCUUCUCGCUCUGGCUCUGACACCUGGGGCUUUUCAUUUCCUUUUUUUUUUUUUUUUUUUUUUCCCCC